rnacentral:rRNA from 1 species
GACGAACGCUGGCGGCGUGCUUAACACAUGCAAGUCGAACGGUAAGGCCCUUCGGGGUACACGAGUGGCGAACGGGUGAGUAACACGUGGGUGAUCUGCCCUGCACUUCGGGAUAAGCCUGGGAAACUGGGUCUAAUACCGGAUAGGACUCCGGACUGCAUGGUCUGGGGUGGAAAGCUUUUGCGGUGUGGAUGGGCCCGCGGCCUAUCAGCUUGUUGGUGGGGUGAUGGCCUACCAAGGCGACGACGGGUAGCCGGCCUGAGAGGGUGACCGGCCACACUGGGACUGAGAUACGGCCCAGACUCCUACGGGAGGCAGCAGUGGGGAAUAGUGCGCAAUGGGCGCAAGCCUGAUGCAGCGACGCCGCGUGAGGGAUGACGGCCUUCGGGUUGUAAACCUCUUUCAGCACAGACGAAGCGCAAGUGACGGUAUGUGCAGAAGAAGGACCGGCCAACUACGUGCCAGCCGCCGCAGUAA